UACGUAGGGUGCAAGCGUUGUCCGGAAUUAUUGGGCGUAAAGAGCUCGUAGGCGGUUUGUCGCGUCUGCCGUGAAAGUCCGGGGCUCAACUCCGGAUCUGCGGUGGGUACGGGCAGACUAGAGUGAUGUAGGGGAGACUGGAAUUCCUGGUGUAGCGGUGAAAUGCGCAGAUAUCAGGAGGAACACCGAUGGCGAAGGCAGGUCUCUGGGCAUUAACUGACGCUGAGGAGCGAAAGCAUGGGAGCGAACAGG
rnacentral:rRNA from 1 species